UAACACGUGAGCAAUCUGCCCUUGACUCUGGGAUAACUGCGGGAAACUGUAGCUAAUACCGGAUACGACACCUUGGGGCAUCCCAGGGUGUGGAAAGAAUUUCGGUCAAGGAUGAGCUCGCGGCCUAUCAGCUAGUUGGUGAGGUAAUGGCUCACCAAGGCGACGACGGGUAGCCGGCCUGAGAGGGUGACCGGCCACACUGGAACUGAGACACGGUCCAGACUCCUACGGGAGGCAGCAGUGGGGAAUAUUGCACAAUGGGCGAAAGCCUGAUGCAGCAACGCCGCGUGAGGGAUGAAGGCCUUCGGGUUGUAAACCUCUUUUAGCAGGGAAGAAGCGAAAGUGACGGUACCUGCAGAAAAAGCACCGGCUAACUACGUGCCAGCAGCCGCGGUAAUACGUAGGGUGCAAGCGUUGUCCGGAAUUAUUGGGCGUAAAGAGCUCGUAGGCGGUUUGUCGCGUCUGCUGUGAAAAUCCAAGGCUCAACCUUGGACCUGCAGUGGGUACGGGCAAGCUAGAGUGCGGUAGGGGAGAUGGGAAUUCCUGGUGUAGCGGUGGAAUGCGCAGAUAUCAGGAGGAACACCAAUGGCGAAGGCACAUCUCUGGGCCGUAACUGACGCUGAGGAGCGAAAGCGUGGGGAGCGAACAGGAUUAGAUACCCUGGUAGUCCACGCCGUAAACGGUGGGUGCUAGUUGUGGGCCACAUUCCACGUGGUCUGUGACGAAGUUAACACAUUAAGCACCCCGCCUGGGGAGUACGGUCGCAAGACUAAAACUCAAAGGAAUUGACGGGGGCCCGCACAAGCGGCGGAGCAUGCGGAUUAAUUCGAUGCAACGCGAAGAACCUUACCAAGACUU
rnacentral:rRNA from 1 species